rnacentral:rRNA from 1 species
AGAGUUUGAUCAUGGCUCAGAUUGAACGCUGGCGGCAUGCCUUACACAUGCAAGUCGAACGGUAACAGGUCUUCGGAUGCUGACGAGUGGCGAACGGGUGAGUAAUACAUCGGAACGUGCCCGAUCGUGGGGGAUAACGAGGCGAAAGCUUUGCUAAUACCGCAUACGAUCUACGGAUGAAAGCGGGGGAUCUUCGGACCUCGCGCGGACGGAGCGGCCGAUGGCAGAUUAGGUAGUUGGUGGGAUAAAAGCUUACCAAGCCGACGAUCUGUAGCUGGUCUGAGAGGAUGAUCAGCCACACUGGGAUUGAGACACGGCCCAGACUCCUACGGGAGGCAGCAGUGGGGAAUUUUGGACAAUGGGCGAAAGCCUGAUCCAGCCAUGCCGCGUGCAGGAUGAAGGCCUUCGGGUUGUAAACUGCUUUUGUACGGAACGAAAAGCCUCUUUCUAAUAAAGAGGGGUCAUGACGGUACCGUAAGAAUAAGCACCGGCUAACUACGUGCCAGCAGCCGCGGUAAUACGUAGGGUGCAAGCGUUAAUCGGAAUUACUGGGCGUAAAGCGUGCGCAGGCGGUUUUGUAAGACAGAGGUGAAAUCCCCGGGCUCAACCUGGGAACUGCCUUUGUGACUGCAAGGCUGGAGUGCGGCAGAGGGGGAUGGAAUUCCGCGUGUAGCAGUGAAAUGCGUAGAUAUGCGGAGGAACACCGAUGGCGAAGGCAAUCCCCUGGGCCUGCACUGACGCUCAUGCACGAAAGCGUGGGGAGCAAACAGGAUUAGAUACCCCGGUAGU